rnacentral:rRNA from 1 species
CCUACGGGUGGCAGCAGUGAGGAAUAUUGGUCAAUGGGCGUAAGCCUGAACCAGCCAAGUCGCGUGAGGGAUGAAGGUUCUAUGGAUCGUAAACCUCUUUUAUAAGGGAAUAAAGUGUGGGACGUGUCCUAUUUUGUAUGUACCUUAUGAAUAAGGAUCGGCUAACUCCGUGCCAGCAGCCGCGGUAAUACGGAGGAUCCGAGCGUUAUCCGGAUUUAUUGGGUUUAAAGGGUGCGUAGGCGGCCUGUUAAGUCAGUGGUGAAAGUCUGUGGCUCAACCAUAAAAUUGCAGUUGAAACUGGGGGGCUUGAGUAUAGUAGAGGUGGGCGGAAUUCGUGGUGUAGCGGUGAAAUGCUUAGAUAUCACGCAGAACCCCGAUUGCGAAGGCAGCCUGCCAGGCCAUGACUGACGCUGAGGCACGAAAGCGUGGGGAUCAAACAGGAUUAGAUACCCCAGUAGUC